CAUCUCCAUUCUCACUCAUGUGUUUGACGUCCAAUCUACAUCAUCAAACUUUUACAAUACAGAUGAUGGCUUACAGAAGAAGUUUUGUUCAAAACAGUGAUCUAUUUAAAUAUAUAGUUUGCUUUCUUCUGAGGUGAAAUACUUGUCGUUGCUGAAAGCUGAAAUGCAUGAUAUUGCAGAAGCAAAUGAGUCUGGUUACAUAGAGAGCAGAUUAACGUGCGGGAAUUAGUUACUUCAUAGAUGAAGUAAUUAACUUAAUUUACCCUUCCUGUGCUUAGCAAUGCAGAAUAAUUAAGACUAUGUAAUCCACAUUCAAUGUCAGGCAAUCUUUUGACAUAUUGCAAUGUAUGUAGUCACCCAAAGGCACUGAAGAGAUUUUCUUAAAAAACAACAGAUAAGCAAAACAGUAAGAAAUUCAAUUGCUAACGUAUCCAAAAACCUUUCAAAGCACUUUAAAGUUAACAACCACAAUAAAAAAAAUUAAUUCCACAAUAAAAGCCUGUGUUCCUGACCUUUACGGCUUCUUGUUUGUAUGACAAUGGGACAUGUGGUGAAUAAGAUUGCAUUUCCACGAAAAGGAUGCAUGGCAUUGGUCACAGGAAAAGGGACGAUCUCCCAUGUGGAUGUGCAUGUGGUUCUUGAGAUGGUGUUUCCGUGAGAAGGAUACGUUACAGCGGUCACAGGAAAAGGGACGCUCUCUUGUGUGGGUGCGAAUGUGACGCAUGAGGUGGUGUUUCCGUGAGAAGGAUGCAUUACAGUGGACACAGGAAAAAGGCCGCUCUCCUGUGUGGGUGCGAAUGUGGUUAUUGAGAUCGGCUGUCUGAAUGAAUGACGCAGGACACAGGUGGCACUCAAAGGGGCGCCUGCCUGUGUGUAUGCAAAGGUGUUUGCUCAUGUUUGCCUUGUCCUUGGUCACAUAGGUGCACUGCUGGCAGGAAUGCAGUCCGCCUUGUACAGACACAAGUGAAUGGUAUUGCUCCAGGGAUGCCAAAGACAGAGAACCUGCAAAGCCACAGAGAGAACACGAAACGAUGAAAACCAUGUGUCAUACACUACAUGGAAAUGGACUGCAGGAAACACUAGACAAUCAACAAUUAAUGCUGCACUUCUAACUGAUGUAGUUGGUAACCUUGGCCUACCCAAACUACCCGUUACUGAAGUGGAAACCAUGCACUGACCCUGAACAAGUCUCACGCAAGUUCCCAUCUCUUUGUACAUAAAUACACUGGGUGAUACAUGCGAACGCAU